CCUAUCAGCUUUAGACGGUAGGGUAUUGGCCUACCGUGGCUAUGACGGGUAACGGGGAAUUAGGGUUCGAUUCCGGAGAGGGAGCCUGAGAAACGGCUACCACAUCUAAGGAAGGCAGCAGGCGCGCAAAUUACCCAAUCCUAAUACAGGGAGGUAGUGACAAGAAAUAACAAUACAGAGCCUUACGGUUUUGUAAUUGGAAUGAGUUAAGUAUAAACCCCUUAACAAGUAUCAAUUGGAGGGCAAGUCUGGUGCCAGCAGCCGCGGUAAUUCCAGCUCCAAUAGCGUAUAUUAAAGUUGUUGCAGUUAAAAAGCUCGUAGUUAAUUUUCUGUUAAUUUUUAUAUACAAUGCUACGGUAUUUAUAUAAUAUUAACAUAAUUCAUAUUACUUUUUAGUAUAUGAAACUUUACUUUGAGAAAAUUAGAGUGCUUAAAGCAGGCUAUUGCCUUGAAUACUCCAGCAUGGAAUAAUAUUAAGGAUUUUUAUUCUUCUUAUUGGUUCUAGAAUAAAAAUAAUGAUUAAUAGGGACAGUUGGGGGCAUUUGUAUUUAACAGUCAGAGGUGAAAUUCUUA
rnacentral:rRNA from 1 species